rnacentral:rRNA from 1 species
UACGUAGGUGGCAAGCGUUGUCCGGAUUUACUGGGCGUAAAGAGCGCGCAGGCGGUCGUUCAAGUCGCGUGUGAAAGCCCCCGGCUCAACUGGGGAGGGUCACGCGAUACUGAUCGACUCGAAGGCAGGAGAGGGUAGUGGAAUUCCCGGUGUAGUGGUGAAAUGCGUAGAUAUCAGGAGGAACACCGGUGGCGAAGGCGGAUCUCUGGGCCUUGCCUGACGCUGAGGCGCGAAAGCUAGGGGAGCGAACAGG